GCCAACGAGGUUGACUCUGUGCAGAUACUAAAAGCAAGAAAGGGUUCCAAGAAGCAGAUCUCCAGAUGAUAAUUCAUGUGCAAUAUGGCUUACUGAAGAGGUCCUCUUGGGAAAAACUAGAUGUGGAAAGAAAGCAGCACAGAAAGGAAAGAAGCAAAGCAGAGUUCCAGCCUCAGCAUGAUCCCACGGGGGAGGUUGGAAGAGUAAAUUACACCACUGAUUUUGGCCUAAUCCCAAGGCCAGUGAGCUGGGCUUUCAUUUUUUCCACCCCAGUUCCUUAUUGAAUAAAGAUCACUCUUGAGGACCUAGAUCCGAGGAAUUUCAGUCUCUCACUGGCCACCCCAGUGGCCCAAAUGUGGUUCUUUAUAGAGAAUCACAGAGUUGGACAAUUAGAAGCAAAACACUUAGAAGGCAAAUGAAGGCAAACUGAAAAGGUCAAAGGGACCCAAGGAAAUCCCAUUUUUUAGACCCUUCAAAGAUCUUUCUGGGCGUUGAAACCAACAUCCUCCUUACUCCUGCCUUCCCGGGAUUUUGUGAAUCCCACUUCCUUAGAAAGUGCCAGCGACCGCCGCUUGCCCCUCUGCGCCCUGUCUGCUCCCCACCCUUCUCCAGUGGUGUGUGAAGUUGCUGCCCACAGUGAGCUCAGACAGAGCGGUUCCCAAGCGGCUGCCACCGUGACCGGAUGCAGACACAAUCCCUGGUUCUCGGCCCAGGCUGCUAUUUUUCGGUUCCAAGGACCACUACUAACACUACCUGACAUCGGUUUCCUGAGCCGCAGGACGACUUGAUAGGAUGCCAUCUAGUGUCCCAACCUUUGCCAGCAACAGAAGUGAGGCAUUACCCAAAAUAAAAUAAAUAGAUAAAAAGAAAGGAGAGGAGAGAAGAGGAAAAGAGAGGAAGAUAGAUGUUUGACUAAUUCAAAACUGAAGCACGAGGGGUUUUCUUCUUUUUUAUGACCACUGCCCUGCAGGAGUUACUGUAGGUGUCCUGCCUGUGUCUCCCUACCCUUACUUCUUCAGUGCACAGUGGCCAGACCACCAGCCACCAGGAUCUGCAUACCUCUUGAGCCACUAUGCCCAGUGUAGGAAGCUGAUGUGAAUUCGUGUCCCCUUUGAGAGCAGCCCUCAACAAAGGACAGAUGGGAAUGGAUGUAUAGCAUAAAUAUUCCAGCUCGCUCACUCAGGUAGGAUGACAAAAAAAGCCUGUGUCCAACACUUCCAGAGUUUUCUAAUGGCAUUAAGCUCCAACUGCCCAGAGUGGUCGUUGGCCCAGUUAGGGAUCCUUUACUGGCUGCUUUUCUCUGUGUCUCAAUCCCUACUUCCUUGCCAGGAUUUCCUUCACUUCCCAAGUAAACAAGUAAACCAUGUGCUUUGGAAUCUUUGUCUCAGGAUCUCCUAAGCAAACGAAACCUCUCUGUGGUACGCUGCAAAAAUGGCCACCUCUCCCUCUUUCUUUACCCCAAGGAUGUUACAGCCCCUCCCAUCAAGCGGUGGGCCAGCUGUGGGUCUUGCUUUUCACCACCAGAACAUGGCAGAAGUGAUAGCAGGAACCUUGCACACUUCUACUUUUUCCUCAAAACUCAUAAGCAAUAAUAAAUAGUUGCU